rnacentral:sRNA from 1 species
GGCAGAAGCAGCCCGGAAUGACAGUCCUGUGUGAACCCCAGGAAAGUAUAGAUCUAUAGAAGGAUGAAGCAUCUCCAUGACCACCAGGUCACACAAGGCAGACUGCGGUCCCCAAGUCUGGGCACUGUGGAGGACAUGGAUGAAGUUAAGUUCAGAGCCAAGCACGUGCCCAGCAGCCCGGCAGACCUGAGAGGAUGAGAAUGGAGUAAGGAAGGACAGGAUGGAUCCAGUACAGAGUUCACGGUGUCCAGGCACCGCUGCGUGGAACAGCUGGGGUCUUCGGGAUCCUGGUCAGGCUGGGACUGAGUGUUGAUGGGAGAAGACCUUCUCUGAGGAUUUUAGCGUUACAGCUCUUUUAGAUGAUACUCAGCUCUCUUAGACAAUCUUCAGGAAAGACGCUGGUGCGCAUUCCACUUUGUUCAGGGUAGACGAAGGCUAUACAUGAACCUUGGGGAGCGGGAAGGAAUUUUCAGAGUGAGUGUAACAUCACUGGCUGGAAUUUAAUGCCCUGUAACUGACGGCCUCAUUUGUAGGGAGGAGCAUCCCAGGAAUCCCAGGUACUUGCUGGCCGGAGAGAGGAAGUUGAACUUAUAGGAACGGCUACUGGACCUUCUUCAGGUAGAAGAUUGCAGUCGAAUACCCUAGAGAAGGACAAGUACUGCUGGGAAAAGGUAGUCCUCCAUUUAGAACUGAGUUCAGAGGCACUCUCCGGACAUAGUAGACUUUGACCUUAAGUAGCAGGGUUUCCCAACACAGUAGAGCCGCUCUGGAGGCCUGGUUUCUGGUGAGCUGGCCAGAGGGCUUGAAAGCAGGAAUGUUGAGCUAUUGGUGGCAGCACUGGGUGGCUUAGCUGGAGCAGUGCGGAGAGCUCCCCCUGGUGGUACAGAUAAGGGAGAGCCAGAGGACCGACCAGCUCAGCUAUCACCUAGGCCCAGACUCAGGGCUUUGAGUUGGCCUACCUCAAAAUCUCUAUCCUCUGAGAAAUGUUGGGGCAUUGAAAGAACCAGUCCUGCUGGUCCAAAGCUGUAGGGUCUCCAUGAUACACGGCAACAACAGGAUAGCCGGGAGAAGUCCCGGUGAGGAUCCACUAUUGAUGGUGUCACAAAAGCCAGAGACCUCAAACCAGAGUGCAAUGAACAUUUGCAGUGAAGAUGUG